CCUACGGGAGGCAGCAGUGGGGGAUAUUGCACAAUGGGGGGAACCCUGAUGCAGCGACGCCGCGUGGGUGAAGAAGCGCCUCGGCGCGUAAAGCCCUGUCAGCAGGGAAGAAAAUGACGGUACCUGAAGAAGAAGCCCCGGCUAACUACGUGCCAGCAGCCGCGGUAAUACGUAGGGGGCAAGCGUUAUCCGGAUUUACUGGGUGUAACGGGGGCGCAGACGGCGAUGCACGCCAGGAGUGAAAGCCCGGGGCCCAACCCCGGGACUGCACUUGGAACUGCGUGGCUGGAGUGGAGGAGGGGCAGGCGGAAUGCCUGGUGUAGCGGUGAAAGGCGUAGAUAUCAGGAGGAACACCGGUGGUGAAGGCGGCCUGCUGGACUGCAACUGACGUUGAGGCCCGAAAGCGUGGGGAGCAAACAGGAUUAGAUACCCUGGUAGUC
rnacentral:rRNA from 1 species